UACGGAGGGUGCGAGCGUUGUCCGGAAUCAUUGGGUCGUAAAGGGCGCGUAGGUGGCCCGGUAAGCGUGCGGUGAAAGCUUGGGGCUCAACCCCGAGUCGGCCGUGCGAACUGCUGGGCUUGAGCACUGUAGAGGCAGGCGGAAUUCCGGGUGUAGCGGUGGAAUGCGUAGAGAUCCGGAAGAACACCGGUGGCGAAGGCGGCCUGACUGGGCAGAGCUGACACUGAGGCGCGGACAGCGUGGGGAGCAACAGG
rnacentral:rRNA from 1 species